rnacentral:siRNA from 1 species
CCGGGGAACGGAUGGCGGAUUAGC